rnacentral:rRNA from 1 species
AGAGUUUGAUCAUGGCUCAGGAUGAACGCUGGCGGCGCGCCUAACACAUGCAAGUCGAACGGCACCCCCUCCGGGGGGAAGCGAGUGGCGAACGGCUGAGUAACACGUGGAGAACCUGCCCCCUCCUCGGGAAUAGCCGCGGGAAACCGCGGGUAAUGCCCGACGACCCGGGGACCGCGCAUGCGGCCCCCGGCAAAGCCCAGGCGGGAGGGGAUGGCUCCGCGGCCCAUCAGGUAGACGGCGGGGUGACGGCCCACCGUGCCGACAACGGGUAGCCGGGUUGAGAGACCGACCGGCCAGAUUGGGACUGAGACACGGCCCAGACUCCUACGGGAGGCAGCAGUGGGGAAUCUUGCGCAAUGGGGGCAACCCUGACGCAGCGACGCCGCGUGCGGGACGGAGGCCUUCGGGUCGUAAACCGCUUUCAGCAGGGAAGAGACAAGACUGUACCUGCAGAAGAAGCCCCGGCUAACUACGUGCCAGCAGCCGCGGUAAUACGUAGGGGGCGAGCGUUAUCCGGAUUCAUUGGGCGUAAAGCGCGCGUAGGCGGCCUGGCAGGCCGGGGGUCAAAUGCGGGGGCUCAACCCCCGCCCGCCCCCGGAACCUCCGGGCUUGGGUCCGGUAGGGGAGGGUGGAACACCCGGUGUAGCGGUGGAAUGCGCAGAUAUCGGGUGGAACACCGGUGGCGAAGGCGGCCCUCUGGGCCGUGACCGACGCUGAGGCGCGAAAGCUGGGGGAGCGAACAGGAUUAGAUACCCUGGUAGUCCCAGCCGUAAACGAUGGACGCUAGGUGUGGGGGGACGAUCCCUCCGUGCCGAAGCCAACGCAUUAAGCGUCCCGCCUGGGGAGUACGGCCGCAAGGCUAAAACUCAAAGGAAUUGACGG